ensembl:lncRNA
AGUCCAACCUGAAUAGUGACUUAAAUCUCAGCGCAAACAGAUUUGGUGACCAUCCAGGUUCGAGUGGCAGAGCUCAUCAUCUCAGCACUUUGGCGCACGCUCCAGCAGCUCUGAGCGGAUAGAUGAGCGUAACCGAGGAUGAAAGUGCAGCUGCCUCGUGCAGCUGCUCAGAGAUGCAGCUUGUGAGAGAUCCAACAGAACCGGCCGAAAGAAACAACAAACCCCGAAAUCAGAGCAGGUGAAGGAGAAAAUGGCCGCCACAAAGAGGUACAUGUGCAUUCAAGAGCUCAGUGACUGUGACAAAAUGACAUUUUCUCAUCAAGCAGAGCGUUGUGUGGAUUGCUGGACGGGCCAGAGACGUGAUUGUCUUAUUGGAUAAUAAAACGAUGGCAAAGAGCAGGGACUCGAAGCGACUACAAAGCAAACAAAGAGGCAUUAAAAAACGGUAACAAGGAGACUCUAAGUCACAUAUAGAGAUAUAGAACAAACGCAAAGAGACAGGAAUACACCAAAGACGAGCGGAGUAUAUGACUCAUAGACAUGUAUUCCCACCACAAAUUCUCUCAUUUUAUUCACAAGCCCUCAAACAGAAGGCUACUCAUGAGGUAUCAAUAAGAACAUUUCAAUAAAACAUUUACAACAUGGAGGCCAGAAGGCAAAGGGAGCCUUAAAAACCUUUCCUCAUGUAAUUCAAUAGCUUGUUAGUUGGCAACAAAGGGCCGAGUCCUUCGCCUUCUCCUGAUUUUAAAUGAGCGAAUAUCAGCCAGCGAUGAAGACACUCACAUGUCACAGCGGUCAACGUACAUGUUGUACAUCACUAUGUGUCUUAGAAAAACUUAUAUUUUAGACCUUUGUGCUUUUAUGAAAAGAAUUGCGGGAGUUUGGGAGGAAUGUUCAAUCAUUUGCUUUUGUCAACAUUCACGGCAGAUAUGAGAAUUGUUCAUGUCCUUGUUUUAUAACUAAAAUGCUGAGCU